AUGCAUUUAUGGAGCCCGGACUGCAGCGGCUUGCAGAACCUCAGUGAUGUUUUGGAGAUAGAAUUCCUGUCACCUGCCACCCACGAAAAAUCUGUACGUUGUAUUUCCCUGUUUCAAACACCUAGCCCUCACAAUUACCUCUUCCGAGCAAUCGUGUGUGUGGUGGACAGAUAUAUAUUUUUCUGUCUGUUAUUCUUUUUUAUGUUUGCUGGAGGUGGGUGUGCAUCCCCUUUAAUUGGGUUGUUUGCAGAAAAAAAUCAUUUGAAUAACAAAGAUGGCAGAAUCCUUGCCACUAUCAAGAUUGCUUUAAUCACACAUUUAUCCAUUUAUCUUUUUCUUUUUUUACUUGCCGGCGGAUGGGUUGAAAGGGUGCCGUGUUUAUCCGCUGUCGCCGCAGUGAUUAAUGCCUCAGCAUCAUUAACAUUCGGAAGAGUGAAAAGUUUACUUGACCAGAUGUUGACAUUUUACCUGCCAUCCUCUUUUUAAUGGAUCGCUUGGAGUCAAAAAAGGGGUUUCUCAUUACACGAAAAGCAAUAUGCAAAAAGAGAGCGAGUGUAGGGGAGGUGGAUAGACUGGUAGAAAAGAGAAAGUGUUGUGUAGUGGGAUAGAGGAAGUGAAGAGGGGUGGUUAGAGAGAGAGAAAGGAGAGACAGGAGGAGAGAUUUCAGUGAAUUCUGUGUCUUGAUCAGUGAUUCUGUGGUGUGUCUUGUAGAGUUUCAGUGUGGAGUGUGGGAUCUGUUAUCUGAUCCUACAUUCUGGAGUCAGCCAUUCCUGAUCAGGUGUGUGCAAUGACCAUCACUGCAGCCAAUCGUUCCACCAGACGUCUGUACGAGGUGAGGGACACACGCCCACGACUAUCCAACCUGAUCAGUAGGCCUGUCUAUAUUAUAAAAGAUCACAACACACACAAUAUCCAAAAUGAGACCUGCUACUUUUUAAAUAAAUUCAUACAAAAGUCAAAGGAUGCAAAAGUCAUAUAGUAUAAUACAAAAGUCAUUUCAGGUGUUUGCUUCUUUGCAUUGCUCAAAUCAUGCCACUACAGGCACAAGGUAAAUGGGUAACUUCAGUUUCAAACCAGUGUUAAGUUUGACUAGUUCUUGUUCGGUCUCCCUAAAUAUUUGCCAAUAACAAUAUAGUCCAUGUGAAAAAAUGAAUUUAUUUGUUUUUUGUUGUUGUUUGCAGCCCAUCACAGUGAAAAUGUCCACCCAUAAACACUGAGAGUUGACUGGAGCCAGGCCCUGGACAUAAGAACUCAUGGUUUCACAUGAGCCUCAGCAAAUCGACUCGCUCCAUCUAAUGUAUUGUCUCACUCCAGUCAUGACACACAAAAAAACACAAAAAAAGUAUAUAUAUACAGUUGAAGUCGGAGGUUUACAAACACGUAGGUUGGAGUCACUAAAAUGUGUUUUUCAACCACUCCACAAAUUUCUUGUUAACAAACUAUAGUUUUGGCAAGUCGGUUAGGACAUCUACUUUGUGCAUGACACAAGUAAUUUUUCCAACAAUUGUAUACAGACAGAUUAUUUCAUUUAUAAUUCACUGUAUCACAAUUUCAGUGGGUCAGAAGUUUACAUAUACUAAGUCGACUGUGCCUUUAAUCAUCUUGGAAAAUUCCAGAAAAUUAUGUCAUGGCUUUAGAAGCGUCUGAUAGGCUAAUUGACAUCAUUUGAGUCAAUUGGAGGUGUACCUGUGGAUGUAUUUCAAGGCCUAACUUCAAACUAGUAUUAACACCUUGGUACCAAACAGCCGUCAUAACGCUCAGGAAGGAGACGUGUUCUGUCUCCUAGAGAUGAACGUACUUUGGUGCGAAGUGCAAAUCAAUCCCAGAACAACAGCAAAGGACCUUGUGAAGAUGCUGGAGGAAACAGGUACAAAAGUAUCUAUGUCCACAGUAAAACGAGUCCUACAUCGACAUAACCUGAAAGGCCGCUCAGCAAGGAAGAAGCCACUGCUCCAAAACCGCCAUAAAAAAAGCCAGACUACGGUUUGCAAUUGCACAUAGGGACAAAGAUUGUACUUUUUGGAGAAAUGUCCUCUGGUCUGACGAAACAAAAAUAUAACUGUUUGGCCAUAAUGACCAUCAUUAUGUUUGGAGGAAAAAGGGGAGGCUUGCAAGCCGAAGAACACCAUCCCAACCAUGAAGCACGCGGGUGGCAGCAUCUUGUUGUGGGGGUGCUUUGCUGCCGGAGGGACUGGUGCACUUCACAAUAUAGUUGGCAUCAUGAGGCAGGAAAAUUAUGUGGCUAUAUUGAAGCAACAUCUCAAGACAUCAGUCAGGAAGUGAAAGCUUGGUCGCAAAUGGGUCUUCCAAAUUGACAAUGACCCCAAGCAUACUUCCAAAGUUGUGGCAAAACGGCUUAAGGACAACAAAGUCAAGGUAUUGGAGUGGUCAUCGCAAAGCCCUGACCUCAAUCCCAUAGAAAAUGUGUGUGCAGAACUGAAAAAGCAUGUGCGAGCAAGGAGGCCUACAAACCUGACUCAGUUACACCAGCUUUGUCAGGAGGAAUGGGCCAAAAUUCACCCAACUUAUUGUGGGUAGCUUGUGGAAGGCUACCCGAAACAUUUGACCCAAGUUAAACAAUUUAAAGGCAAUGCUAGCAAAUACUAAUUGAAUGUGUGUAAACUUUUGACCCACUGGGAAUGUGAUGAAAGAAAUAAAAGCUGAAAUAAAUAAUAAAUAUUAUUCUGACAUUUCACAUUCUUAAAAUAAAAUGGUGAUCCUAACUGACGGAUUAAAUGUCAGGAAUUGUGAAAAACUGAUUUUAAAUGUAUUUGGCUAAGGUGUAUGUAAACUUCCGACUUCAACUGUACAUAUUUUCACAUACACCGGAUAGGUGCAGUGAAAUGUGUUGUUUUACAGGGUCAGCCACAGUAGUACGGCACCCCUCAGGUUUUCGAACCAGCGGCCUUUCGGUUAUUAUUCUAACCGCUAGGCUACCUGCUGCUUACCUACUUGCCAUAGUAGUAGUUGGUGAUUAUGCAUGCAUAAAAUAGGCAUGAUGGGUAAGAAAUGUAAAGAAAAAGAGUCAGAGAGUAUCAAUUCAUCAAUCAGGACCACCAGUCAGUGUGAAUAGAAAGGACAGAGACCGGAAUGGGAAGACAACUAUUGCACUGAAGUAGUGUGACAUCCCAGCCAUCCUUCUGUUUAGAUUAAGGCUUUGCUCUUUGGUUGUGGUCUUUGUGGCCACAAUCCUCCCACUCACCACGGUCAAAUAUGUGUUUGGGAUUUUCCCAGUGGUUCGAGUCAGGGGGACCGUGCUUCUGUCUCUUACUUACGGUCGUAGUUGAAGUUCUC
rnacentral:lncRNA from 13 species